rnacentral:rRNA from 1 species
UACGAAGGGUGCAAGCGUUACUCGGAAUUACUGGGCGUAAAGGGUGCGUAGGUGGUUGUUUAAGUCUGUUGUGAAAGCCCCGGGCUCAACCUGGGAAUGGCAAUGGAUACUGGCAAGCUAGAGUGCGGUAGAGGGUAGUGGAAUUCCCGGUGUAGCGGUGAAAUGCGUAGAGAUCGGGAGGAACACCGGUGGCGAAGGCGCUCAUCUGGCCCGAUACUGACGCUGAGGCGCGAAAGCUAGGGGAGC